GACGUAGGGCGCAAGCGUUGUCCGGAUUUAUUGGGCGUAAAGAGCUCGUAGGCGGCUUGUUGCGUCGUCCGUGAAAACCCGUGGCUCAACUGCGGGCUUGCGGACGAUACGGGCAGGCUGGAGUUCGGUAGGGGAGACUGGAAUUCCCGGUGUAGCGGUGAAAUGCGCAGAUAUCGGGAGGAACACCGGUGGCGAAGGCGGUUCUCUGGGACGGUACUGACGCUGAGACGCGAAAGCGUGGGGAGCAAACAGG
rnacentral:rRNA from 1 species